rnacentral:rRNA from 1 species
UACAGAGGUCCCAAGCGUUGUUCGGAUUCAUUGGGCGUAAAGGGUGCGUAGGCGGCGCGGUAAGUCGGGUGUGAAAUCUCGGAGCUUAACUCCGAAACUGCAUUCGAUACUGCCGUGCUUGAGGACUUGAGAGGAGACUGGAAUUUACGGUGUAGCGGUGAAAUGCGUAGAUAUCGUAAGGAAGACCAGUGGCGAAGGCGGGUCUCUGGACAGUUCCUGACGCUGAGGCACGAAGGCCAGGGGAGCAAACGGG